rnacentral:rRNA from 1 species
GGUACUAANCCAGAAAGCCACGGCUAAUUACGUGCCAGCAGCGCGGGUAAUACGUAGUGNNCNAGCGUAUCCCGNAAUAUUGGGCGUAAAGCGCGCGUAGGCGGUUUCUUAAGUCUGAUGUGAAAGCCCACGGCUCACCGUGGGAGGGUCAUUGGAAACUGGAAAACUGNAGUGCAGAAGAGGAAAGUGGAAUUCCAU